GCAUGGCUUUGGAUUUGUGGCAGGGUCCUUUCCAUGGUCCUGUCAUAGUGUACUCUGUGCUAAAGCAAACUACUCCGAACCAUUGUCUGGCCUUUACACGUGGGCCCAGUCACUGAAGUGAGUGGAGCAGUA